GCGGUGUCCUCUGCAGCUAGGUCUACUUGCUGGCGACCUCACCAUCACCAACCCAUCUACAGCCUACUUGAAUGGAUAUGGUUCUUGAGAGGCCAUUUCUUAUGCAUCAGGCCCUGAAGGUGGAUGUUGCUUGUAUGCUAAGCAAGGAAGAGGCAUGCCCUACCUGGCAGCGACCACCUUCCACUCAAGGGAUAUAGCACUAUCAUUUAGCACACACUGUUCCAGGAGAAACAAUAAUCAUGAACAGAAACAGUAACCAACAAUAUCCCUACUGACCGGCGUGGCUCCACCAACGAUCCAUCAGCCCCUGGUACAGAAAGAGAUCCAGAAGCUCACGCAUGGAGGACAUGGACAUUGGUAUCGUCUGUGACGAGGGUUCCCCAGGAUCAAUAGCGUCAAGGAUAGGAA